rnacentral:lncRNA from 12 species
AUGGAUUAUGUGGUUGGUGCAUUUGGAAUUCCGCAAAGGAAAUGGGCUGCAAAUCCAGAUCUCAUCACAGGGAGACCAGAGAGACAGAUAAGAAAACCAAAGAGAACUACCUGUGUUGGGCACCAGUGUGUACCCAACAAGCAGGGAUGCAGGAGGCAACGCUUGCUUUUCUACACUCAGCAGGCAUGUUUAGGGUGGAAGCGUAUCUCCAUUUGACUUCGUGCUGCCUGUUGCCAUGGCCUUGUCCUGAAAUGUGAC